rnacentral:rRNA from 1 species
CCUACGGGUGACAGCAGUGAGGAAUAUUGGUCAAUGGGCGGAAGCCUGAACCAGCCAAGUAGCGUGCGGGAUGACUGCCCUAUGGGUUGUAAACUUCUUUUGUACGGGGAUAACACCCUCCAUGUGUAGAGGUCUGCAGGUACCUUACGAAUAAGGAUCGGCUAAUUCCGUGCCAGCAGCCGCGGUAAUACGGAAGGUCCGAGCGUUAUCCGGAUUCAUUGGGUUUAAAGGGAGCGUAGGCGGGGGGUCAAGUCAGCCGUGAAAGUGGGGGGCUCAACCGUCCGAUUGCAGUUGAAACUGGGUGUCUUGAGUGCACGAGAGGUAGGCGGAAUUCGUGGUGUAGCGGUGAAAUGCUUAGAUAUCACGAGGAACCCCGAUUGCGAAGGCAGCCUGCUGGAGUGCGACUGACGCUGAGGCUCGAAAGUGUGGGUAUCAAACAGGAUUAGAUACCCUGGUAGUC